UACGUAGGGUGCGAGCGUUAAUCGGAAUUACUGGGCGUAAAGCGUGCGCAGGCGGUUCGCCAAGUCAGGUGUGAAAUCCCCGGGCUUAACCUGGGAAUUGCGCUUGAAACUAGCGGGCUUUGAGUGUGGGCAGAGGGGGGUGGAAUUCCACGUGUAGCAGUGAAAUGCGUAGAGAUGUGGAGGAACACCGAUGGCGAAGGCAGCCCCCCUGGGUCAACACUGACGCUCAUGCACGAAAGCGUGGGGAGCAAACAGG
rnacentral:rRNA from 1 species